rnacentral:tRNA from 1 species
UUAAUUGAAGCCAAAAUAGAGGCAUUUUAUUGUUAAUAAAAUAAUUGAAUUUUAUUCCAAUUAAU